rnacentral:lncRNA from 1 species
UCCCUGUUGAUUUAAUAUUGAUUAACAACUUAAUAUUGAUUUUAUUAUUUUGUAGGUUCAGCUCCAAUCUCAAGUGGGCUACCAACACCAAACUUCAUCAGCCAAAUUUUAUUGAGGUGUGAGUUUGCUUCAGCUUCAAGACAGUAGGCUACCAACACCAAACUUCAUAAGCCAAAUUUUAUUGAGGUGUGAGUUUGCUUCAGCUUCAAGACAGUAGGCUACCAACACCAAUCUUCAACAACAAAAUUUUAUUGAAAUGAUUUCAAUACUUUCUCUAUUUCAACUUAUACACAUUCAAGGAGUGAACAGCAUUGAUCUAUGGGAGAAGUUUAUUCUAUACCUUGAAAAAGAAGUUAAAAAUAAGAAAAAACUAUCAAAUAUUUUUUAUGAUAUAAAGAAACUGUUCAAAUGCAUGAAAUGUGGUUAUCAGGAUUCAUCUUCAAGUCAGAAAAGUCUUUUGAAUAUAUUAACUAUAGAAUUAGCAUUAGAUCGUUUUGAAGAAUUUAUUUCAACAGGGCUUUCAAUUAAAAAAUACAAAUUGAAACUUAAUGAUGAAAAAUACUCUCAAGAAUUGUGUGAUUCAAUUGUGAAAAUAGCUGAAAAUUUCAUAUCAUCAAAUAACUGCAGUACAAUAAAUGAAUCAGAUAGUUUUAGUGAUGAUGAUGAUGAUGAUGUAGAGAUGAGUGGGGAUGAUUCAGAUUUUGAAUCAAUUUUUAAUAAAAUUGAGGGUAAAAAGUUUAAUAAUCAAACAUUAACACAGUCAUUCAUGAUUAGGGACCAGACAAAGCAGGAAAUACUCACAUGUGAGAGUGAAAAUAUUUCAAAGGGCGGAAUCUUGGUGAAAGUUGAAAUAACAGAUGUUAAUGAUUUAAAAAAUAUUGAUGAGAGUUCUAGGUGGAGAAAAAUCAACAAGAAGGUUAUAUUUAUUGCAAAGAACAAGAAUGAUGAAAAAUUUAUAAAAAUUAAUGAUGGAUUGAAAAUAUUUUUGAAAGAGUUAUCUAAAAAAUCUAAUGUUGUAAAAGAAUCACGCAAAAUUAAUGCAUUCAAUAGCAAUAUGCAAAAUUAAUUUGUUCUGUAUCCAUCAGAUAGGAAAAACGUAUUCAAACAUAGUAUUCAAACAAAUGAGAAGCAAUGAGCAGCAAUAUUCAUUUAUUCAAGGGGGUCAGAAGAAAAAAAGAUAGAAUAAAAGUUACCACUGGUCAGUUCACAGAAUUGGAGAGUGCAUUCACAUCACUAUUACAUCACUUUUCUUCAUUUUUUUUUAGAUAACAAAUGAGAAGCAAUGAGCAGCAAUAUUCAUUUAUUCAAGGGGGGCAGAAGAAAAAAAGAUAGAAUAAAAGUUACCACUGGUCAGUUCACAGAAUUGGAGAGUGCAUUCAAUAAUGCAUUAAAGACUUAUUAUUACAAAAAUUCAAUUUCAAAGGAAUCUCUUUCCCCACACCAAUCAAAGAUAUAAAAGUUUUUGAAAAGAACAACAAGUCCAUGUCAAUAAACGUUUACUUUCUAGAUGAAAAUAUGUGAUUAUGAGAAGAGAAAGCAUUUUGAUUUAUUAUUAUUGCAAGAGGAUGGGAAAUAUCAUUAUUGUUUAAUUAAAAAUUUAUCAAGACUCAUUAGAAGUCAAUUGACAAAACAUGAAAAUAAAAUAACAAUUUGUAAAAGAUGUUUCUCAUACUUUGAUGUGAGAGUGAAGAAAAAUUUCAAAACCCACCAAAGAUUAUGUUCGAAGAA